GACGAACGCUGGCGGCGUGCUUAACACAUGCAAGUCGAACGGAAAGGCCUCUUUCGGGGGGUACUCGAGUGGCGAACGGGUGAGUAACACGUGAGUAACCUGCCCUUGACUUUGGGAUAACUUCAGGAAACUGGGGCUAAUACCGGAUAGGAGCUCCUGCUGCAUGGUGGGGGUUGGAAAGUUUCGGCGGUUGGGGAUGGACUCGCGGCUUAUCAGCUUGUUGGUGGGGUAGUGGCUUACCAAGGCUUUGACGGGUAGCCGGCCUGAGAGGGUGACCGGCCACAUUGGGACUGAGAUACGGCCCAGACUCCUACGGGAGGCAGCAGUGGGGAAUAUUGCACAAUGGGUGGAAGCCUGAAGCAGCAACGCCGUGGGCGGGAUGACGGCCUUCGGGUUGUAAACCGCUUUCGCUCAUGACGAAGCUUUGUGUGACGGUAGUGGGUAAAGAAGCACCGGCUAACUACGUG
rnacentral:rRNA from 1 species